GAUGGACGGAUGGAUGGAUGGAUGGAUGGAUGGAAUAAAGAUAAAAUCCAUAGACUGAUGUAGGGGGAAAGAAAGAUAAAAAAGAGAUAAUUCUCAAAUAUUUGUGUGUUUGUAUGUGUCCAGACUUGGGAGGGGAACACAUAUAUUCAGAUACAGAUGAGCACUUUGUAUUACUUGCUCCUUCUUAGUCUUCUCCCGGAACCCCUGUGAUGUUGCCAUAGUCCACAUGAUCCUGUCUCCCAAGACAAGGACUGACUAAACUGGAGUAGACACCUUACCCAAACUAGUACAAUCAGAGCCCCAUUCAAGAGAGUUGGAACUGAGGCAGAGGAGGUGUAGCUCUGUUCUUGAACUAGGAAGUCAUAUCAGAGGCUGCCAGUUGUCCACCAGUCUCUUUUGUCCAUAGCAACACAGUUGUGGCUGGACACAUUUAAGACCAGCUAGAUCUGACAUUCCCAAGCCUCUCGCAGCUAGCUACAAUUAUCUGGUUUAUUUCAAGUCAAAGGACUAUGAAUGGAAGUCACACAUGUAACAUCUGGAUUGUCUCCUAAAGGUAAACCAUUUCUCCUGAACUAGCGCUUUUCACCCCCUCCCAUGAAUUGUAACUUGGGCAUGCCUUUGAACCAGCUUCAUCCAGACAAACUGGGCAAUGCUCUAGGGAGUGACAGAGCAAAAAAAAUAUGUAAGGAAUCUAGAUCUCAGAAUAACUGCAGGGAGUAGGCCUGUCUUAUCAACCUGGAGUGAGAUAACUUCUUUGAGUAAACUUCUUUUGAAACCACUGCAUUUUGAGGGUUCUUUGUUGCCUUUUCUGAAACCUAUACAAAGGCCAUGUAAAGCCAGAACUGGGGUAGCCACAUGCAUGGCCAAAGUUGAGAAAGCCAGUCUUCAAGAGCAGAAAAUCACCAAAAGGAAAUAAAGAUUGGAAAUACAUUCUGCCUUCGAGAAAUGAAGAGAUAAGUUGUUACUGCUGUCAGUUCAGUUACUGGUUACAUUCUUUCUUAACGUUCCUGAGUUUCAUAAAUAUGCUUUCAAUAAAUGUCCAUUUUUUAUUAAGAGAGUUUGGAUUUCCAUUGCUUAUAGCUCCAAAAACCUCUAAGAUGGCAAGAGAGCAAGAAUGAAAGCAAGAAAUACACGAAAAUGUCAAAAGUAGUCAUGUUUAUGGGGUAGAUAUGCAAGUGAUAUGAUUUGACUCUGUGUACCCACUCAAAUCUCAUGUUGAAUUAUAAUCCUCAAUAUUGGGGGAGGGACCUCAUAGAAGGUGAUUGGAUCAUGGGAGUGGAUUUCUCUCUUACUGUUCUCAUGAUAGUGAGUUCUCAUGAGAUCUGGUUGUUUAAAAGUGUGUAACACUUCCCCCUUCACUCUUUCUCUCCUGCUGCCAUGUGAAGAUGUGCUUACUUUCCCUUUGCCCUUCUACCAUGGUUGCAAUUUUUCUGAGGCCUCCUAGCCAUGCUUCCUGCACAGCCUGUGGAAUUGUGAGUCAAUUAAACCUGUUUUCUUUAUAAAUUGCCCAGUCUCCGGUAAUUCUUUUUUUUUUUUUUUUUUUUUUUUUGAGACAGAGUCUCACUCUUUUGCCCAGGCUGGAGUGCAGUGGUGCGAUCUCGGCUCACUGCAACCUCUGCCUCCUGGGUUUAAACUAUUCUCGUGCCUCAGCCUCCUGAGUAGCUGGGACUACAGGCGUGUGCCCCCAUGCCUGGCUAAUAUUUUGCAUUUUUUGUAGAGACGGGGUUUCACCAUGUUAACCAGGUUGGUCUCCAUCUCCUGACCUCGUGAUCCGCCUGCUUCAGCCUCCCGAAGUGCUGGUAUUACAGGCGUGAGCCACUGCACCCAGCCAUCUCAGGAGACAUCAGUUGUGUUUCUGUAACAACAGCACCCCAAACAGUGCUUGUACGGGCCAUAUUGCCAAUCUGUACCUGCAAGGAACAAGGAGUAUAUUGUGUAGCUCAUCAAGAGGAAAAGGUAGGCCAGGCAUGGUGGCUCACGCCUGUAAUCCCAGCACUUUGGGUGGCUGAGACAGGCAGAUCACCUGAGGUCAGGAGUUCAAGAGCAGCCUGGCCAACAUGGUGAAACCCCAUCUCUACUAAAAAUACAAAAAUUAGGCGGGUGUGGCAGUGGGUCCCUGUAAUCCCAGUUACUUGGGAAGCUGCAGCAGAAGAAUCACUUGAACCCAGGAGUGGAGGCUGCAGUGAGCCAAGAUCACGCCAUUGCACUCUAGCCUGGGUGACAGAGCGAGAUUCUGUCUCAAAAAAAAAAAAAAAGAAAAAAAGGCAGAGGGAAGUGGUGAGAACCCACCUACAUCUUUGUGGUUCUCACCCUGUUUUGGUCAGAAUAUUAAUUCACCUGGAAGCAUAGUGCUCUUACUCCCCUACUAACCAUUAUCAGUUCCUAAUUAGCAGACCAAAUAUCACCUCUUUGUCUCUGUCUCUGUGUCUCUGUGUUUUACUCUCCUUCGCUGGCUCUCUUUCUUGGUUUCCCUCUUACUCUCCAGGACAUUAUAUGUAAAACAAAUAUAAGAAGACUCUGAAAGUUGGAGAAAAGACGUUAGACCAUCUGGAGACCUUGGGAUCUGAGGAACAACAUAGCAGUGAGUUCCCUGGGUUUCCUUUCUGGCUUAUAUAUCCCAAACUGGGUGCUGGAGAAGCCAGCAACCUAGACAGACACAACAACAGGUACAGACAAAAAAGAAAAAAAAAAAGCCCCAGCAAAUGCCACUGUCUACACCCAAAGAACCAGGAAAUGUGCAGCCUUCCAAGACAAUACCACUUUAUUGCAGCCAAAAUGGCAGAAAAAACUGUGGCCCCACCCCAACUAGCGAAAUCCAAAGGGGAGCCUAGACUUUCCUCCUUGCCAGGCUGUAAGGAAGCACCUCAAACCCCCUACCAGGACGAUGUCAGAGAAGGAUGAGUAGGGAGCUGGGACUUCUAUCAUCACUGAGCAGUAACUGGGGCUGUCCUCUCCCACAGUGUCAGUGAAGACCACAUGGGGACAUGGAAGCAGUGACAAGACCCCUCUACCCUCUCUCAGCAGUAAGAGGAGCCCCUCCCCAUCCCAGGUGUCAACAGAGGCUGAGUGGGAACCUGGACUUCUACCCCCACCUGGUAGUAACAAGACAGGCUCCACCCCUUUCUUUGCCAGAGUGGUGUUGGAAGAAGCCAAUAAAAACAAAAGGUGUAAAUGAGACUGAGCGUCUCAUAACGUGAUAUCCAAAAUGUCUAGCUUUCCAUCGAAGAUCAUAUCAAGAGCCAGGAAAAUCUCAACUUGAAUGGAAAAAGACAAUCAAUAGAUCCCAACAUCAAAAUGACAGAGAUGGCAGAAUUAUCUGACAAAUAUUUUAAAGACAGCCAUUAUAUAAAUGUUUGAAAUAAACUAUUACAAACAUACUUGAAACAAACAAAAAAUAGAAAGUCUCAGCAGAAGUAUAGAAGAUAUAAAGAAGAACCAGAUAAAAAUUUUAGAACCGAAAAAUACAAAAGCCGAAACAAAAGACAACAGCAGAAUAAACGAGACAGGAAGAAAAUCAAUGAACUUGAAGAUAGAGCAGCAGAAAUUAAGCAAUAUGAAUAACAGAGAGAAAAUAGACUAAAAAAAUGAAAAGAACCUCAGGGACUUAGGAAACUAUAACAAAAGAUCUAACAUUCCUGUCACUGGAGUCUUGCAAGGAGAGAAGAAAAAGGGCGGGGCUAAGAAAAGGACACAAAGAAAUCAUAGCUAAAAGCUUCCAAAAAAAGUGAUGUAAUCUUAUUGGCAAUUAAGAAUUCAAAUUGAAUAAUAAAAUGACAUUUUUAUCCUUUGCUUCUCUAAUUGGCAAAAAAUAUUUAUGAUUGAUGACAUUGCAUAUUAGUAGGUAUAUGAGAAAUGAGGAUUCUUACAGUUAGUGACAGUUUAAAUUGAUGAUAUGUUUUUCAUUAAGUUUUUCUGAAUUGUCUAUUGCUAUCAAAAUUGUAAAUGUGCACAUUCCCUGAUGCUGAAAUUACACUUCCAGAAAUAAAUCUAUCCCAUGAAAUAGCCACAUAUGUUCAGAAAUCAUAUAAACUAUAUAAAGAAUAUUUAUUGCAAUAUCAUGUGUAAUCAUGGAAAAUUACAAAUAAAAACAUCCAUUAAAACAGAAAUAGUUAAUGAAUUGUGACUUAUUUGUACUAUAGAUGUGACAGAGUUGUUUAAUAAAUGUAUGAGAUUGACUUACACAAUUUGAUAUGGAAAUAACUCUAAGUUUUAAAAUGCUAGUAAAGGAACACUAUGUAUAAUAUGGUCCCAAACACAAGUACACCAAGAAAGGUGUAUGUUUGUGAAUACAAUGCAUAGAAAGUGGACAUAGAGAUAAGACAUUUUAAGAGUAUCCCCAGCUCCAAGCUGUGUUUGCUUGAGCCUUUGAAUAAACUGAAAAAAACAGAAAAUGUCACUGUUAAAGAAUGGUGUGGAAGGACUGAUAGAGAUUAUGAGGUGAUCAAAAUCUCCCUAAAGCAAAGGUUGACAGUUAAUUGAGUUUGACAGAGGUGGGUGACAAAGGGAAAUGUUCACACUUCGUUCUCCACUCUUUUAUGUCUUUGGCUCAUGUCCA
rnacentral:lncRNA from 10 species